AUAGAUGGCGACCGGCGCACGGGUGAGUAACGUGUAUGCAACCUACCUUUAACAGGGGAAUAGCCCGAAGAAAUUCGGAUUAAUGCCCCAUAUUUUCAUAAUAUCGCAUGAUAUAGUGAAGAAAGCUCCGGCGGUUAAAGAUGGGCAUGCAUGACAUUAGUUAGUUGGUAAGGUAACGGCUUACCAAGACGAUGAUGUCUAGGGGGUCUGAGAGGAUGAUCCCCCACACUGGUACUGAGACACGGACCAGACUCCUACGGGAGGCAGCAGUGAGGAAUAUUGGGCAAUGGACGCAAGUCUGACCCAGCCAUGCCGCGUGCAGGAUGACUGCCCUAUGGGUUGUAAACUGCUUUUAUACGGGAAGAAACCCAUCAACGUGUUGAUGGCUGACGGUACCGUAAGAAUAAGCAUCGGCUAACUCCGUGCCAGCA
rnacentral:rRNA from 1 species